rnacentral:rRNA from 1 species
AUGCAAGUCGAGCGGAUGACGGGAGCUUGCUCCUUGAUUCAGCGGCGGACGGGUGAGUAAUGCCUAGGAAUCUGCCUGGUAGUGGGGGACAACGUUUCGAAAGGAACGCUAAUACCGCAUACGUCCUACGGGAGAAAGUGGGGGAUCUUCGGACCUCACGCUAUCAGAUGAGCCUAGGUCGGAUUAGCUAGUUGGUGAGGUAAUGGCUCACCAAGGCGACGAUCCGUAACUGGUCUGAGAGGAUGAUCAGUCACACUGGAACUGAGACACGGUCCAGACUCCUACGGGAGGCAGCAGUGGGGAAUAUUGGACAAUGGGCGAAAGCCUGAUCCAGCCAUGCCGCGUGUGUGAAGAAGGUCUUCGGAUUGUAAAGCACUUUAAGUUGGGAGGAAGGGCAGUAAGUUAAUACCUUGCUGUUUU